rnacentral:rRNA from 1 species
GGGGGGAUAACCAAUCGAAAGAUUGGCUAAUACCGCAUACGCUCCGAGGAGGAAAGCAGGGGACCUUCGGGCCUUGCGUUAUUCGAGCGGCCAAUAUCUGAUUAGCUAGUUGGUGGGGUAAAGGCCUACCAAGGCGACGAUCAGUAGCGGGUCUGAGAGGAUGAUCCGCCACACUGGGACUGAGACACGGCCCAG